rnacentral:rRNA from 1 species
ACCUCGGAUCAGGUAGGAAUACCCGCUGAACUUAAGCAUAUCAAUAAGCGGAGGAAAAGAAACCAACAGGGAUUGCCCCAGUAACGGCGAGUGAAGCGGCAACAGCUCAAAUUUGAAAUCUGGCCCCAGGCCCGAGUUGUAAUUUGCAGAGGAUGCUUCUGGCGACGUGCCUUCCGAGUUCCCUGGAACGGGACGCCAUAGAGGGUGAGAGCCCCGUACGGUCGCGCACCUAGCCUCUGUGAAGCUCCUUCGACGAGUCNAGUAGUUUGGGAAUGCUGCUCUAAGCGGGAG